GACGUAGGCGGCGAGCGUUAUCCGGAUUCACUGGGCGUAAAGCGCAUGUAGGCGGUUGCACAAGUCCUUUGUUAAAGCCCCUGGCUCAACUGGGGGAGGUCAAUGGAGACUGUGCGACUUGAGGGCAAUAGAGGCACGUGGAACUCCCGGUGUAGCGGUGGAAUGCGUAGAGAUCGGGAAGAACACCAGUGGCGAAGGCGACGUGCUGGGUUGCACCUGACGCUGAGAUGCGAAAGUGUGGGGAGCAAACGGG
rnacentral:rRNA from 1 species